UCCGUAGGCGGUGCGGCAAGUCGAUAGUGAAAUCUCUGGGCUUAACUCAGAGGCUGCUAACGAAACUGCCGUGCUAGAGUGUGAGAGAGGCGAGUGGAAUUACGGGUGUAGCGGUGAAAUGCGUAGAUAUCCGUAGGAACAUCCGAGGCGAAAGCGGCUCGCUGGAUCACAACUGACGCUGAGGGGACGAAAGCUAGGGGAGCAAACAGGAUUAGAUACCCUGGUAGUCCUAGCCCUAAACCAUCAGGACUUGGGGUUUGCCCUGUACGGGGCAAGUCCCGUAGCUAACGCGUUAAGUCCUGCGCCUGGGGAGUACGGUCGCAAGGCUGAA
rnacentral:rRNA from 1 species